rnacentral:rRNA from 1 species
UACAGAGGUCUCAAGCGUUGUUCGGAUUCAUUGGGCGUAAAGGGUGCGUAGGCGGCGCGGUAAGUCGGGUGUGAAAUCUUGGAGCUUAACUCCGAAACUGCAUUCGAUACUGCCGUGCUUGAGGACUGGAGAGGAGACUGGAAUUUACGGUGUAGCGGUGAAAUGCGUAGAUAUCAUAAGGAAGACCAGUGGCGAAGGCGGGUCUCUGGACAGUUCCUGACACUGAGGCACGAAGGCCCAGGGGAGCAAACGGG